CGGAGGCAGCAGUGGGGAAUCUUGCACAAUGGAGGCAACUCUGAUGCAGCGACGCCGCGUGAGCGAUGAAGCCCUUCGGGGUGUAAAGCUCUUUCGACGGGAACGAUAAUGACGGUACCCGGAGAAGAAGCUGCGGCUAACUACGUGCCAGCAGCCGCGGUAAUACGUAGGCAGCAAGCGUUGUUCGGAAUUACUGGGCGUAAAGAGUGUGUAGGCGGUGCUCUAAGUUCGUUGUGAAAUCUCCCGGCUUAACUGGGAGGGUGCGGCGGAAACUGGAGUGCUCGAGCGCGGGAGAGGAAAGCGGAAUUCCUGGUGUAGCGGUGAAAUGCGUAGAUAUCAGGAGGAACACCUGUGGUGUAGACAGCUUUCUGGACCGUAGCUGACGCUGAGACACGAAAGCGUGGGUAGCAAACAGGAUUAGAUACCCCGGU
rnacentral:rRNA from 1 species